AUCCAAUUGACGAGUCCCAAAUAGGACGAAACGCGCAUCUUGGAU
rnacentral:hammerhead_ribozyme from 1 species